UACGGAGGGGGCUAGCGUUGUUCGGAAUUACUGGGCGUAAAGCGCACGUAGGCGGCUUUGCAAGUUAGAGGUGAAAGCCCAGGGCUUAUCCCUGGAAUUGCCUUUAAGACUGCAUCGCUCGAAUUGUGGAGAGGUGAGUGGAAUUCCGAGUGUAGAGGUGAAAUUCGUAGAUAUUCGGAAGAACACCAGUGGCGAAGGCGACUCACUGGACACAUAUUGACGCUGAGGUGCGAAAGCGUGGGGAGCAAACAGG
rnacentral:rRNA from 1 species